UCGGGUAUGGUGUACGGCGCACCGCUCCUUGCAAUAGCUUGCCGGUAAAGGAGUGCUGAAGGAGCAGACCGGGGUUCGACUCCCCGUACCCGAG